UGUUCAGUCAGGAAUCACAUCAGUAAUGUCUCCAGAGGAGAGAGGAUCUCUACCUGUGGCUUCAUAUUCAUCAACUGCACCUUACCUAAUGGGACACACAUAUCAGAGUGGGUGUUUGAAGCCAAUAACACACUGUGUAUUAACCCAACUACUGCCCCAACUACUGCCCCUACCACUAGUUUGGGUAAGGAGACUAACAUAGUGUCAAAUAAACCCUCCAAUCAAACUUUGAUCAGUGAUGAACCGUGGUACAUUACCUAUUUGCCACUAAUAGCUGGUGUAUCCUCAGCCCUGGUCAUUGUCUUGGUUGUGGUCUUAUCAGUCAUCUGGGCUCUGAAGAAAAAGCA